rnacentral:rRNA from 1 species
GAUGAACGCUGGCGGCGUGCCUAAUACAUGCAAGUCGAGCGAACGGACGAGAAGCUUGCUUCUCUGAUGUUAGCGGCGGACGGGUAAGUAACACGUGGAUAACCUACCUAUAAGACUGGGAUAACUUCGGGAAACCGGAGCUAAUACCGGAUAAUAUUUUGAACCGCAUGGUUCAAAAGUGAAAGACGGUCUUGCUGUCACUUAUAGAUGGAUCCGCGCUGCAUUAGCUAGUUGGUAAGGUAACGGCUUACCAAGGCAACGAUGCAUAGCCGACCUGAGAGGGUGAUCGGCCACACUGGAACUGAGACACGGUCCAGACUCCUACGGGAGGCAGCAGUAGGGAAUCUUCCGCAAUGGGCGAAAGCCUGACGGAGCAACGCCGCGUGAGUGAUGAAGGUCUUCGGAUCGUAAAACUCUGUUAUUAGGGAAGAACAUAUGUGUAAGUAACUGUGCACAUCUGGACGGUACCUAAUCAGAAAGCCACGGCUAACUACGU